rnacentral:rRNA from 2 species
GUCAUAUGCUUGUCUCAAAGAUUAAGCCAUGCAUGUCUCAGUACAAGCCAAAUUAAGGUGAAACCGCGAAAGGCUCAUUAAAUCAGUUAUGGUUCCUUAGAUCGUACCCACAAUUACUUGGAUAACUGUGGUAAUUCUAGAGCUAAUACAUGCAAACAGAGCUCCGACCGGAGACGGAAGGAGUGCUUUUAUUAGAUCAAAACCAAUCGGUGGCGAGUUCGCUCGUCAUCGUACAACUUGGUGACUCUGAAUAACUUUACGCUGAUCGCACGGUCAUCGCACCGGCGACGCAUCUUUCAAAUGUCUGCCUUAUCAACUGUCGAUGGUAGGUUCUGCGCCUACCAUGGUUGUAACGGGUAACGGGGAAUCAGGGUUCGAUUCCGGAGAGGGAGCCUGAGAAACGGCUACCACAUCCAAGGAAGGCAGCAGGCGCGCAAAUUACCCACUCCCGGCACGGGGAGGUAGUGACGAAAAAUAACGAUACGGGACUCAUCCGAGGCCCCGUAAUCGGAAUGAGUACACUCUAAACCCUUUAACGAGGAUCAAUUGGAGGGCAAGUCUGGUGCCAGCAGCCGCGGUAAUUCCAGCUCCAAUAGCGUAUAUUAAAGUUGUUGCGGUUAAAAAGCUCGUAGUCGAAUUUGUGUCUCGCGCCGCCGGUUCAUCGUCCGCGGUGUUAACUGGCGAGUCGCGAGACGUCCUGCCGGUGGGCUUAGCUCGCGAGGGCGGCCCAACUCAAUCCUGCCGCGGUGCUCUUCAUUGAGUGUCGAGGUGGGCCGGCACGUUUACUUUGAACAAAUUAGAGUGCUUAAAGCAGGCUAAAACUUCGCCUGAAUACUGUGUGCAUGGAAUAAUGGAAUAGGACCUCGGUUCUAUUUUGUUGGUUUUCGGAACCCCGAGGUAAUGAUUAAUAGGAACGGAUGGGGGCAUUCGUAUUGCGACGUUAGAGGUGAAAUUCUUGGAUCGUCGC